rnacentral:rRNA from 1 species
UGCUGGAGCGAAUAGAAGUGAGCAUGCAGGCAUGAGUAGCGAUAAUUAAUGUGAGAAUCAUUAACGCCGUAAACCCAAGGUUUCCUACGCGAUGCUCGUCAUCGUAGGGUUAGUCGGGUCCUAAGUCGAGUCCGAAAGGGGUAGACGAUGGCAAAUUGGUUAAUAUUCCAAUACCAACAUUAGUGUGCGAUGGAAGGACGCUUAGGGCUAAGGGGGCUAGCGGAUGGAAGUGCUAGUCUAAGGUCGUAGGAGGUUGUACAGGCAAAUCCGUAUAACAAUACUCCGAGAACUGAAAGGCUUUUUGAAGUCUUCGGAUGGAUAGAAGAACCCCUGAUGCCGUCGAGCCAAGAAAAGUUUCUAAGUUUAGCUAAUGUUGCCCGUACCGUAAACCGACACAGGUGGGUGGGAUGAGUAUUCUAAGGCGCGUGGAAGAACUCUCUUUAAGGAACUCUGCAAAAUAGCACCGUAUCUUCGGUAUAAGGUGUGGUUCGCUUCGUACUAGGAUUUACUCCGAAAGCGAAGAAACUUACAACAAAGAGUCCCUCCCGACUGUUUACCAAAAACACAGCACUCUGCUAACUCGUAAGAGGAUGUAUAGGGUGUGACGCCUGCCCGGUGCUCGAAGGUUAAUUGAUGGGGUUAGCAUUAGCGAAGCUCUUGAUCGAAGCCCGAGUAAACGGCGGCCGUAACUAUAACGGUCCUAAGGUAGCGAAAUUCCUUGUCGGUUAAAUACCGACCUGCAUGAAUGGCGUAACGAGAUGGGAGCUGUCUCAAAGAGGGAUCCAGUGAAAUUGUAGUGGAGGUGAAAAUUCCUCCUACCCGCGGCAAGACGGAAAGACCCCGUGGACCUUUACUACAGCUUGACACUGCUACUUGGAUAAGAAUGUGCAGGAUAGGUGGGAGGCUUUGAGUAAUAGACGCUAGUUUAUUAUGAGCCAUUGUUGAGAUACCACUCUUUCUUAUUUGGGUAGCUAACCAGCUUGAGUUAUCCUCAAGUGGGACAAUGUCUGGUGGGUAGUUUGACUGGGGCGGUCGCCUCCCAAAUAAUAACGGAGGCUUACAAAGGUUGGCUCAGAACGGUUGGAAAUCGUUCGUAGAGUAUAAAGGUAUAAGCCAGCUUAACUGCAAGACAUACAAGUCAAGCAGAGACGAAAGUCGGUCUUAGUGAUCCGGUGGUUCUGUGUGGAAGGGCCAUCGCUCAAAGGAUAAAAGGUACCCCGGGGAUAACAGGCUGAUCUCCCCCAAGAGCUCACAUCGACGGGGAGGUUUGGCACCUCGAUGUCGGCUCAUCGCAUCCUGGGGCUGGAGCAGGUCCCAAGGGUAUGGCUGUUCGCCAUUUAAAGCGGUACGCGAGCUGGGUUCAGAACGUCGUGAGACAGUUCGGUCCCUAUCUGCCGUGGGCGUAAGAAGAUUGAAGAGAUUUGACCCUAGUACGAGAGGACCGGGUUGAACAAACCACUGGUGUAGCUGUUGUUCUGCCAAGAGCAUCGCAGCGUAGCUAAGUUUGGAAAGGAUAAACGCUGAAAGCAUCUAAGCGUGAAGCCAACUCUAAGAUGAAUCUUCUCUAAGCUCUCUAGAAGACUACUAGUUUGAUAGGCUGGGUGUGUAAUGGAUGAAAGUCCUUUAGCUGACCAGUACUAAUAGAGCGUUUGGCUUAUCUUU